rnacentral:rRNA from 1 species
AAGCUCGUAGUUGAAUUUCGGGAUUGGGAUAUAUCGAUCGUGCCUUUAGGGGCAUGAAACGGUGUGUAGCCAAUUUCUCACCUUCUGGUGAGUCGGGAUGCUCUUGGGUGUUUCGAUGAAUCAGGACCUUUACUUUGAAAAAAUUAGAGUGUUUAAAGCGGGCAUUUUUGCCUGAAUACAUUAGCAUGGAAUAAUAAAAUAGGACGAUGGUUCUAUUUUGUUGGUUUUAGGACCACGUAAUGAUUAAUAGGGAUAGUUGGG